rnacentral:rRNA from 1 species
AUUGAACGCUGGCGGCAUGCCUUACACAUGCAAGUCGAACGGUAACGCGGGGCAACCUGGCGACGAGUGGCGAACGGGUGAGUAAUGCAUCGGAACGUGCCCAGUAGUGGGGGAUAGCCCGGCGAAAGCCGGAUUAAUACCGCAUACGACCUACGGGUGAAAGGGGGGGAUCGCAAGACCUCUCGCUAUUGGAGCGGCCGAUGUCAGAUUAGGUAGUUGGUGGGGUAAAGGCCUACCAAGCCGACGAUCUGUAGCUGGUCUGAGAGGACGACCAGCCACACUGGGACUGAGACACGGCCCAGACUCCUACGGGAGGCAGCAGUGGGGAAUUUUGGACAAUGGGCGCAAGCCUGAUCCAGCAAUGCCGCGUGCAGGAUGAAGGCCUUCGGGUUGUAAACUGCUUUUGUACGGAACGAAACGGCGAGCUCUAAUACAGCUUGCUAAUGACGGUACCGUAAGAAUAAGCACCGGCUAACUACGUGCCAGCCGCCGCCGUAAAAC